rnacentral:rRNA from 1 species
AACGAACGCUGGCGGCAUGCCUAACACAUGCAAGUCGAACGAGACCUUCGGGUCUAGUGGCGCACGGGUGCGUAACGCGUGGGAAUCUGCCCUUGGGUUCGGAAUAACAGUUAGAAAUGACUGCUAAUACCGGAUGAUGACGUAAGUCCAAAGAUUUAUCGCCCAGGGAUGAGCCCGCGUAGGAUUAGCUAGUUGGUGAGGUAAAGGCUCACCAAGGCGACGAUCCUUAGCGGUCUGAGAGGAUGAUCAGCCACACUGGGACUGAGACACGGCCCAGACUCCUACGGGAGGCAGCAGUGGGGAAUAUUGGACAAUGGGCGAAAGCCUGAUCCAGCAAUGCCGCGUGAGUGAUGAAGGCCUUAGGGUUGUAAAGCUCUUUUACCCGGGAUGAUAAUGACAGUACCGGGAGAA